rnacentral:rRNA from 1 species
AACGAACGCUGGCGGCAUGCCUAACACAUGCAAGUCGAACGGGAUCCUGGUUUCGGCCAGGUGAGAGUGGCGGACGGGUGAGUAACGCGUGGGAACCUGCCCAGUGGUGGGGGAUAACUGCGGGAAACUGCAGCUAAUACCGCAUGAGCCCGCAAGGGGAAAGAUUGAUCGCCAUUGGAGGGGCCCGCGUUUCGAUUAGGUAGUUGGUGAGGUAACGGCUCACCAAGCCUACGANCGAUAGCUGGUCUGAGAGGAUGAUCAGCCACACUGGGACUGAGAUACGGCCCAGACUCCUACGGGAGGCAGCAGGUGGGGAAUAUUGGACAAUGGGGGCAACCCUGAUCCAGCAAUGCCGCGUGAGUGAUGAAGGCC